rnacentral:rRNA from 1 species
AUUGAACGCUGGCGGCAUGCUUUACACAUGCAAGUCGAACGGCAGCGCGGGGGCAACCCUGGCGGCGAGUGGCGAACGGGUGAGUAAUGCAUCGGAACGUAUCCUGUAAUGGGGGAUAACGUAGCGAAAGUUACGCUAAUACCGCAUACGCUCGGGAGAGGAAAGUGGGGGAUCGCAAGACCUCACGUUACAGGAGCGGCCGAUGUCCGAUUAGCUAGUUGGUGGGGUAACGGCCUACCAAGGCGACGAUGGGUAGCUGGUCUGAGAGGAUGGUCAGCCGGAUCGGGACUGAGACACGGCCCGGACUCCUACGGGGGGCAGCAAUCAGGGAUAUUGCGCAAUGGGGGAAACCCUGACGCAGCGACGCCGCGUGCGGGACGAAGGCCUUCGGGUCGUAAACCGCUGUUGUGGGAGACGAGUGCCCGGUGAUGAGCCGGGAGAGACGGUAUCUCACAAGGAAGCCCCGGCUAACUACGUG